UACGUAGGGUGCAAGCAUUAAUCGGAGUUAUUGGGCGUAAAGGGCGCGUAGGCGGAUUUGUAAGUCAGAUGCGAAAUUCCGGGGCUCAACCUCGGAGCUGCAUUUGAAACUGUGAAUCUAGAGGGUUGACGGAGAAAACGGAAUUCCACGUGUAGCGGUGAAAUGCGUAGAUAUGUGGAAGAACACCAGUGGCGAAAGCGGUUUUCUAGUUAACAACUGACGCUGAGGCGCGAGAGCAAGGCGAGCAAACAGG
rnacentral:rRNA from 1 species